rnacentral:lncRNA from 1 species
UUUUUUUGAAUAUAAAGAGAAAUGGCUAUCUUAGGGAUAUAAUUAAAUUAAAACCCAAAAUCAAAUAAAAUAUGUUAGUCCAACAUCAUAAUAAAUAAAUAAGAAAGGGAGGAAAUAUCAAAUUUGGGCCCUAGGCCCAAAUUCUGCUGCUGCAAUUUUCAGGGAAAUUGGGCCUAUUUCCUUCAAAAAAAUCUGCGUAUACACAUUACGUAUACGCUGGUAUACAAGACAUUUGCGACCCAUUUUUGAACCUUUGAAGCCUGCAUUUUGUUGACCCUUAUGUCAUGUAAUUUUUUCUGCCUUUUCACGCCCUUUUGCACCUGUAUAUUGCUGUUUCACAAUGUAUAUCACUGUAUAUGUCUGUAUACAAGCCAUAUUUUCAACUUGUUUUUACAUUUCCAGAAAAGGAAACUUAUUUUCUGUACGGAUUUAUCAAUUUUCCACCUGUACACCUACUUUCCAAUUCACCCCGAUAGCUGACCCGAUGAAGGGGGGUCGACUCAACGAUAUGCAAGGAGGAGAGUUCAAGGGGACUCGGAUGCAAUUUCACAUGCAAAAUAUAAAGUAAAAUAAGAGAUUAACAUCUAUGGAAGGAAAUAAAGUGAUGAAAAAUACUAACAUCUACCAGACAUUAUUAAUAAAAUAACACUUGAACAAUAAUUUAAAGGGAAGUUUCUGAUAAGCAGUGAAGGGAAUAGAAUGUUGGGUUAUGGGCUUUUUCCCUUCCUAUGUGGAUAAAUAAAAGCUCAAUUUGGACCAACCCAUUUUUUGCUCAUAGUCUCAUUCUUAUGAGGCAAAUUUAAGCCUAUUUAGGUCUUAUUUUCAAAUACACAGAGUUUUUCAGCAACCAAAAAGAGAGAAAGAGAACAGUUUUCGCAAUCAAAAUUCAGCCCUAAUAGCCAACUUCAAAUUGCGAUUCCCGCUUCGUUUCUUGUCCGAUUGAGCUGAUUUUUGGACAGCAUAUUAUCUUCAUCUCAAUCUUUGAUUAGGAACUGACAGAGUUGGAUUUGGUGGCCUGCAACUUCAGUUUUUCUGUCAUGAACAGUAGCUGCGAAAUUGGUGAUUCUGCUCCUUUAAUUCUCUAGAUUUGGUGCAAUCUUAUUUUGUUGUUGCUCGUUAUUUGGCACUUGUUUUGUGGCCAAUUUUGGAGAACAAUAUUGUAACUCUUGGUGAUUAUAGUGGAACUUUUGGUCCCGUGGUUUUUUACUCUUCACAUCGAAGGGUUUUCCACGUAAAUCUUGGUGUCUUGUGUGAUUGGUUUAUUAUUGCCUUGUUAUAUUUGUUUGGUUGAAUUACUUGCUGCCUUACAAUUAUAUUGUUUGUGGUUGUUUGUCUUCUCUUGGUUCAAAUCGAAAAGGGAAAGUAUAGACUUGGGUAUUCUUCCGCUGUUAUCUUGUCAGACAUUCUUUGUUAGUGUCUUGUCUUUCCCAACUCCCAAGUAUAACAUACAUACAGAUGCUUUGAACACCAUCCAAGGAAUCACAAUGUGGACUAAAAAAUUAUUUAUUUAUUUUUGCAGACAAAUCGAAAUUCUUUUUUUUAGCCUUUCUAUGAGUAAAUAAUAAAGGAGCUAAAGAGAAUGAAAUCAAAACGUUAAGCUACUAAAAGAUAACCUAAACACAAAAAAAUUCCAGCAUGCAUGAACCACUUUGAGAGAACGCUAAGGCAAGACUUAAUGCAUUUAAACACACAAUGACCAUUACUAUUUGCACAUAACUUAAGUGAAUAGCAAAAACGUCAAGUUUGAGAGUCACAUGCAUGUUAAAUGCAAAUUAAUAAGCCUUUAAUAAAUUUAUCACAAGAUUAAGUGCGGGACUAAGUAGGCAUCAGAAGAGUGGCUAAGAUAACGAGGUUGACUCGAACACAUCAACACUAACCUACACCGACCGAUAAGAAAGAUAACUGACUAACUUAAACUUGAAAAAUAAGUGCCAAACCGAAUCCAUGGAGUGAUUCUUUUGACACGUACAACAAAAUAUGAAUAUCAUUUCCACGAAUAGAGACAGAAAAGCAUUCUGGUAAUUAACAAGUGAAACAAACUAACUAUUGAGGCAAGCACUAUUGUCACGAGCUUGAGGGAAUUAAGAACGGAUAAAAUAAAUUCGAACAUACAUUCAAUUACUUCAAAACGAAAUAUACACUACCAGUUACCGAGAGAAAUAAGGUGAGGGCUAAAGGUAUCAUUUAGAGUACAACAUAUCAAGUAAAAGUAUUUUGAAGCCCAUAAAAACACAACUCAAAUCCAAACGACUACUGGAAACUGAAUGAAUAAAAUAACUGAGAAUUAUUUACCUCUUGAUGAGUAGCGACUGAGACAAUAACAAACCAAGCAGAGACUUCCAUACUUUCGAUGAGAGCUUUCGACAGAAGAAUACGGGAUAUUUUAAAACUGAAGUUUGAUAUCGAAAAUCUUUAAUCUCGCAAAAAAAAAUAGAAAUCAACAACUCUUCUUAUAAAUUUAUAUAAUUGUGUUUGCUUCUAUUCUUCUCCUUUCUAACCCCUAUUUUCCAAUUCUUUUUCGCCAACUCUCUCUACCUAUCUCCCCACUUUUGAAUGAAGAGGGUGAGGGCCUUAAAUAAAGGAAUAUAUGGGUUGAUUAAAAGGGAAAAAGGAAUUGAAUUUUAAAUUUUCAAAUUUUGAAUUUUUUUUGAAGGGAUAAGGUUGGAGAGCUGGGCAGUACUGAUUCCCAACAGAAUUCCAAGGAGCACCGUUCGAUCUGAGGAGCAAGGACGGACGAAACACAAGAUAGAGACACCUGGAAGAUUUGAUACGGAGGAUAAGGGAUGGAGAAGAGGAGACGCACGCUGCUGCUGAACGCAAUUUCUCGCGAUUGAAUCGCGGUUUCCGGGUUUGAUUCGAAGAAGAAGACGAAGUAGGGCGGGUCGAUUUGGUGUUGUACGUAUUCUGAGAUUUUGGAUGGAUGUUUUGUAUUGUUUAAAU